GACAGAGGGUGCAAACGUUGCUCGGAAUUACUGGGCGUAAAGCGCGUGUAGGCGGACCUGCAAGUCGGACGUGAAAGCCCUGGGCUCAACCCAGGAACUGCAUCCGAAACUGCGGGCCUGGAGUGGUGGAGAGGGAAGCAGAAUUCCUGGUGUAGAGGUGAAAUUCGUAGAUAUUAGCAGGAACACCGGUGGCGAAGGCGGCUAUCUGGACGACAACUGACGCUGAGGCGCGAAAGUGUGGGGGAUCAAACAGG
rnacentral:rRNA from 1 species